UCAGUGUUACAGCUCUUCUUAGUGUUACAGCUCUCUUGAACAGGGACCCCGAGCAGCAAAAUCGCUCGACUUAUAUAGACAACUGUAUGCUAAUUAUCUCUCAGGGAUUGGUGGGGCUUGGAUCACCCCACUACUUGUCCUCCAGUGAUUGGCGGAGAAUGAAUCACCUCAUUAGCAUAUUAACGGUCAACUGACACCUGGUGCAUAAACCGCACAUGUGCAGUACCGCUGUUCACCACUAGAGGGACCCCUAGCAAGGGGACAAGCCUGCACAUGCGCAGUAAGUCGUUUAUAUCCAGACAAGGCUGGAUGUCGGCGCCAUCUUUGUUUUGCCGCGCUGCUCUCUACAAGAGAAGACCUGUGUGAUCGCUGUGGAAGCAUGAUGACAUGAAGACAAGACGUACGAAGAACAGCGCACGGUCCUGAUCCAACACAGACUUUCGCUGAUGCGUAACAAAGAGCUUCUUACAAUUUCUAGGAGAACCCAAUCUUUUAACAAAGGUCCUUGUAUAGAGGAGAAACAUUUGAGAAAGCUAUUUCCAGUUCCCAAGUUUAUAACCUCUCUACUGAGCAUGAUGGCGUAUCCCUGUACUCCCAGGACUUGAGAGACAGAAGCAAGGGUAUGAGAAGUUCAAGGCCAGCCUCAGCUACAGAAGCUCAAUGCCAGCCUGAAGUUUAUAAGCAGAUAUCAAAAUCCAAUUCUCCUUGCCUUUCCAACUUGGGUUUACAACUGAAUGUCGCUUUGGAAUUUGUCUGUUGCAGGUGACCUGUCUGUCAGUCCUAAAUGAAGGCCAAGAGUGCUGCAAUUCUCUCAACCUGAGAAGCUGACACUUCCCGGUAGAAUCUGCUAAUGUUUACUGAUAUAGGGCAUUUUAUCGUCCUGGGGUGCUCCCACUUGUGACUUCCUUUGUAAGCAAUACUUUAAGAAAAACUAUGAUUAUGUUUUUGAUCUUAAAUGGUUCCCAAAACUCGUGGGUUCAAGAUUUGGUCCCCAACAUAACAGUGUUCAGAGUCAGAGCAUCUGAGAGGUUCCUGAAUCAUGACCACUCUGGCCUUAUAAAGAGAUCUAUUAAUUUAUGGAUUUAUGACUUAACAGGCUCUUAGGAGUAGACAGAAAGUUGAGGAGACACUGGAGAAAGCAGGUCACUAGAGGCAUGGCCCUGAAAGGUAUAUUGGGACCUCACCUUUCUUCCCAGUUUUCAUGAGAUGACCAGUAAACCCUGCCAUAUGCUCCCCACCCUGACAGUCUGUCUCAUUACAGGCCCAGCAACUUAGCCAACUGUCCAUGGGUGGGAGCCUUUGAAACGGAGUCAAAGUAAACCUCUCCUUCUUUAA